CAGCAAGGAGCCCAGCGCGGGGCUUGAUCCCACAACUAUGAGAUCAUGACAUGAGCCUAAGUCAAGAGUUGGACACUCAACUGACUGAGCCACCCUGGUACUCCUGAAAACCUUUUCUUGAAGACUGAUGACCUAAUCCUAGCAGGCUCAGCAAAUCAUUGCACGUUUUGUUUGAGGUCUUUUUGUAGCUUUAAAUCCGUUAUUUCUCAGGACAUUUCACUGGCUUUGUAUGGAAUUUUAGGCAGUGUACCUGUUAUGGUCAUUUUCCAAAUCAGCUUAUUGAGGAAAUUGUGAAACUGGGUAAGUUUUUUGUUUUUUGGGUUUUUUUUUAAGAUUUUAUUUUUAAGUAAUUUCUGUACCUGACGUGGGGCUCAGACUCAAAUUCCUAAGAUUGAGUCGCAUGCUCUACUGACUGAGCCAGCCAGGUACCCCUAAACUGGGUAAGGUGAUGAGACUUGUGGGUCAUCCGGACCCACAGGCCUGAGAGGGCAAGCUUGCAGUCUCAGCUAAAUACCGCAGCCAGCAAGUAAGGAGAUGGAUAACGGAGAAGAGACUUGGCAGCCACUCUCCCAGUCCUCUAGUAUUGUCAGCAAGGUCAUUUUGUUUCUUAAAUUUAUUGAAGUAAUCUCUACACUCAACGUGGGGCUCGAAAUCACAACCCCGAGAUCAAGAGCCGCAUACUCUUCUGACUGAGCCCGCCACGUGCCCCAGCGGGGUUAUAUUUUUGGAGUAGAUGGUUCUAAUUUACUUUAGAAAUCCCUUAAUAUACUUAAGAUUCAUUUUUUGUUGUUGUUAGGAGAAAAGUAGAGUUGAUUAGAUAGAAUAAUCAUAAAUCCAUGUGGCUGCCUGCUUUGGAAGGAAAUUUUGGAGAGCCCACCAAGUAUUACUUUGUCGGAAGCAUCGCCAGCAGGUGGCAGCAGUUUCCAUGUUCUAAAAAUGCAGUACGUGAUUAAGAGAGGAGCAGUAUUUUAUUUUGCUACAGAAACAGGCUUAUUUCUGGGAUUUUCAUUUUCCUCAUUGUGUUUGAUUGUAGUCUGCUAUCCACACGGGGAGGUAGAAUGGCAACUUAACGACAUCAGCAAGGCAGGAGCAGCAGUAUUAUCCAAACUGUGAGGCCACUUAAAACUAUACUUGAACCAUAGUUGGCAUCCAGUUGUUACAUAGAAAGUGUCACUUGUGCAUCCCUUGGUAAACAGACUGUUAUAUCUGAAGCUCCUAAGUGUGACGGAUAAGUCAUAACACCGGCACCAUCUGAUACUGGGAAGAAGAGCCAAAUAGUCUGCUCCCUGAACUUUGGCUCAAUGAAAAAAUCAGCCAGCAAACCAGGCUGGGCCUUUGUGGUCAGAGAGCUGGCUUUGAGGAUGUUCUUAACGAAGGUUAAUGCUAAUUAUCCACUUGCAGCAUUCACAGUCCAGUCCUUGCGCAAUGAUUCAGGUCGCCUAAAGAUUUGCCACUCCCAAGGAUUUGCAUACUUCUCUGAGCCACAGGACGCCUCGGAGAGGACUGUACACGCUGAAAACUUAGUGAGAUUCUGAUCCCAAAGUUGUAAAUACUGAGUCAACAUAGUUACUUUUUUCCCUUGCUUGGCUUUUUCCCCCCUUCGCUGAACCAACAAACUAAACUAAUAUUAAUGUCAAUGCAUGGAAAUUUAGAUGAUGAUGCGUGUCUUAUUCCCAUUCCCACUCCAUUUCUUGCAGCCUACUAUGUUCCUAGUAUUCAUUCACUUGCUUACCAAGUAUUUAUUGCACACCUUACGAUGAUGGGCCUUCCUGUUUUCCUAGGUGCUGAGAAUGUAGCAGUGAAUAAAACAGACCUAGAUCUCUCCCCUUAUGCAACUUUAAAUUCUGGUAGAAGGAGACAGACACUAAAGAACUAAUAUGGUUGAUCAGAAGUGAAGUUGGUUGAGGAAAUAAGGAGAUCGGGGAGGCAGAGUGAUGUUGGAAUUUUAAAAAAGUGGAGAAGACUUAUCAUCAAGAUAGCCCUGGGACAAAGGCUUGGCAGUGUGGGAGUGUACCAUGUGGGCACCUAAGAGAAGAGAGUCUGGAUAGAGAGGGCAGCAGAGGCAAGGGCUCUUGGAGUAAGAAGCAUGUUGGAGUGCUCCAGGAACAGCAUGGGAGCCAGUAGGAACCGAAGAGAGAGUAGGAAGAGUUAGGAUAGCAGAGGCUGACUGCUUGAACUUGGGCUUCUGCUCUGAGAUGGGAGCCUUUGGAGGGCUUCGAGCAGAAGUGUGAUAGGGUCUUAGGUUUUAGGAGAGUGUGUGAGCAAGGGUAGAAACAGACCAGUUAGGAGACUACUGCAGUGGGGUGCCUGGGUGGCUUAGUCGGUUAAGCGUCUGACUCUUGAUUUAAACUCAGGUCAUGAUCUCACGGUUUGUGGGUUCGAGCCCCGCAUCAGGCUCUGCGCAGACAGUGUAGAGCCUGCUUGGGAUUGAUUCAUUCAUUCUCUCUCUCUCUCUCUCUCUCCCCCUCUCUCUCUCACUCCACCCCUUCCCUGCCCCACGCCCCCCCCCACUCCUACUCUGCUUGUUCUUUCUCAAUAAACUUAAAAAAAGUACCAAGAAAAUGUUUUAAAAAAAAGAAGGGAGACUAUUGCAGCACUCAGGUGACAAGUGCAGGUGGCUUGGACCGGCAUGUCUGCAGUUGGAAUCUUCUUAAGUGGUCACAUUGUGUACUUACCUUAAAGGUAAAACUUCAAGGAUUCACCGAUAGAUUGGAUAUAUAAUAUGAGAAAGUGAGGCGUCAGAAUUGAUUCCUAGCUCUUUUUGUCUCGGGUUGACAAGGGGAAAACUAGGUGGCAGAGAUUUUCUGGUGAAGAUCAGGAACUUAGUUUUGGACAGAGGAGUUUGAGACACCUGGCAGUUAAUUCAAUGGAGAUGUUGGGUAGGCAGUUGGGUAUUCUAGUCUGGAGUUGAAGGGAGAGUCUCUGGCUGAAGAUGGAAAUAUGGGAGUCUGUGUAUAAAUGGUAUGUGAAGCCACGGGACUGGAUGAAAUUACCAAGAGAGUGAGUUACAUGGGGAGAAGAAGUCCAAAGGCUAAGUCUUGGAGCACUCCAGAUGCCAAGAGUUCAGGGCGAUGUGGAGGACCCAUCAGAAUAGACAGUGGCUACUCAGGGGAAAUCCUGGAAGCCAUGUGAAGUUUGAAGGAAGCAGUGGUCAGCUGUCACAUACUGCAAAUAGGUCAAGUAACAGGAGCUCUGAGCAUUGAAUUAGCGACCUACGUAGUCAUUGGUGACUUUGACAAGUGGUGUUUCAAUGGAAGGGAGGGGGAAAUCUGGAGUGUGUUUGAGAAGAAAUGGGGUAGCCUCACAACAAGAAAAAAUGCUAAGCACACUGAAAAUCAGCUUCUCUUUGACCCAUCAAAGAAUAGAGGUCACAGAGCAAGCCACCACAAAAACUAGAGAAAAAAUAUGCAGAAAAUACAGGUCACUUCACCUAAAGGAGAAGCUAGAGCCAGUAAUCAGGAUUGAAGUGAAUUGCUGGGGGCUGAGUGUGGGCUAGCUUGAGAGUUUAAAACUCCUGGGAGUUACUCUAAGGGGUUGCCCACACUUUGGUGGGUUUUACCUCCAGAAGCUUCCCCAGGUUCUCAUUGUGAAGAUGGCAGAAAAUUCUCCUCUUGUAAGGGGGCUGGGGGGUAGUAGCCAUUUCAAAAUACACCCAGAGCUUUUUGUUAACUUGGCAGAAGACUGCCCUCAGGGAAAACUACUUGUCUUCUCUGACCUUGGGGAAGGGCUGUUGGAUAGCGUAAGCCCCUUCCUUCCUUUCUCACAUAAGGAAAAAAAAAAAAAAAAAGGCUAAGAAACUUCUAAAGUUCUCAGCCCAGGACUCUGGCUCAUAAAAAAGACAAAAUAGAUUUACUCAUAAGAUACAGAAGAAUUCUCCCUAGUCCCAUACCAUCAGUAGGACUCCAGUAUUACAAUAGUGGAUUACAGCUUUUGAAGAAGCUGCAACACACCGACUCUAUUUCAAGAAGGAAUUUCUAGGGAAAACCAGAAAGGGAAGACUGAAAACAUGGACACUGAAGGAAAUCAAAACCUCUGACACCUGCAGCAGGCAUCGAACACAGCCUAGCUGUGAGCCAGAUAAACAUAACACCUCACACUAAAGGCCUAUUCACCUCAGUUCCUAUUACCCAAUAUAUAUCAUGUCAAACUUCCAAUAAAAAAUAUACAAGGAUGCUCAGAAGCAGGAAAAAAAAUCUGAUGAGACCAAACAGACACCAGAACCAGACUGAUAUGGCAGAGAUUCUAGAGUUAUCAGACUGGGAAUUUAAAGUAACUAUGGUUAAUAUACUGAGGUCUCUGAUGGAAAAAGUGGACAACAUACAAGAACAGGAGUGACCCAGGAAAGCAGGACAGUUUGAUGCUGCAGGUGAGGGAGAAUCUUGCUGGAAUGAUGCCCUCAAAGAGGCAAGAGAAGGAUUUAGUGCACAAGUGGAGGGACUGAACAAGCAGCGAAUAACAGGAAGAAGGGAAACCAUGAGAGCAGGGCUGGCAGGUGGGUGCGCGUGAUGGUGGAGCUUAUGGACGUUGUCUUGAUUACUUUGAUUUUCAAGGUCACAGCUGAGAGAAAGGCUAGAGGAAGAGUGGUUGGAGGCUUGAGGCCUUAAAAUUAGAGGAGACCGAACAGACUAGGGGAAUAUCGUGUGGUUGCCAGCCGGUGUUAAGGCUCCCUUGAAGCCUGAAUUAUUAUGUUCUGUUUUAUUUAUCAUUCUUGAAUAACUCUGUAUUUUGUUAAAAUAUAUUUUAUUGGAAACGUAUGCAUGUUUCACUAGCAUCUCCUCACAGUAAGGAUUUGGGUUCUCGUGAAUGAGGAAUCAAGUUUACAAAGUUAGAUCUCCUUAGUAGGCCAAUUGGCUAAUCUAUUAUCAUAUAAUAUGCUCCUAUUUCCCCCUGGUUGUUGUUAUGGUCCUUACUCUUGGGAGGUACUAUCAGGCUUAUAGUUCAACCGAAAACAGACACCUUCUAGAUAUCAAAGCACUGAUAGAGAUGGGUUAGAACAGUAUUUGGCCUGCCUUCAGGAAGCUUACAUUUUAGUGGGAAACUAAAUACACAUCAGGCACUAAAAGAGCAGGAAAAGGGGGAAUAGGGAGUGUGGAUUGCUAUUUUAUAUUGGAGGGUAAGGGAUGAUCUCCGAUAAAUGACAUUUGAGCAGAGACCUGAAGGAAGUAAGGAAGUAAGCCAUAGAUGUAUCAGGGAAAUAGUGGGCCUGGCUUUUGUAUCCAUCUCUACUUUAUAAACAGAUUUAAUAGAAGACGUGAUACCCAUUUAUGUCAACAGGCUGCCACUUUUUACUAAAUGCAAUAAAACCUUGAACGCA